rnacentral:rRNA from 1 species
GACGAACGCUGGCGGCGUGCUUAACACAUGCAAGUCGAGCGGUAAGGCCCUUUCGGGGGUACACGAGCGGCGAACGGGUGAGUAACACGCGGGUGACCUGCCCUUAGCUCUGGGAUAAGCCUGGGAAACUGGGUCUAAUACCGGAUAUGACUCUAUAACGCAUGUUGUGGGGUGGAAAGCCUUGUGCGGCUAGGGAUGGGCCCGCGGCCUAUCAGCUUGUUGGUGGGGUGAUGGCCACCAAGGCGACGACGGGUAGCCGGCCUGAGAGGGCGACCGGCCACACUGGGACUGAGACACGGCCCAGACUCCUACGGGAGGCAGCAGUGGGGAAUCUUGCGCAAUGGGCGAAAGCCUGACGCAGCGACGCCGCGUGGGGA